rnacentral:rRNA from 1 species
UACGGGGGGGGCAAGCGUUGUUCGGAAUUACUGGGCGUAAAGGGCUUGUAGGCGGCCAACUAAGUCAGACGUGAAAUCCCUCGGCUUAACCGGGGAACUGCGUCUGAUACUGGAUGGCUUGAGUUCGGGAGAGGGAUGCGGAAUUCCAGGUGUAGCGGUGAAAUGCGUAGAUAUCUGGAGGAACACCGGUGGCGAAGGCGGCAUCCUGGACCGACACUGACGCUGAGAAGCGAAAGCCAGGGGAGCAAACGGG